CCAUUUUGAGACCUCUUGUGAUUAUCUAGUAGUAGAUUUCAAAGAGUAGUUAUAAGGGAGGUAAAAUAUUUUGAUUCUCUAUUCAAAGAAUAAUCUAUUUUUGUGUGUGAAAGUUUCACGUUUGAGAAAGUUGUCAGUUGAAGGCUGUUUGGCAGUUUAGUGUCUUUUAGCUAUAGGGUUUACUAUGAGAAUCUCUAUUGUGCAGUAAUUGGCCUUGACAGCAUCCAAACCAUCAGGAAGUGCAAUAGGUAAUCCAGAGAGCAAAAUAAGGUAGCAUGUAAGAGACAGGAUGAGCUGGCAGCAAAAAUCUGUCAAUAAUGAAAGAGGCUGGCUAGGGAUUAUCUUCUUUGAAUUACUUCACACAUCUUUGCUACCUUCCUUUCCAGAAUCAGAAUCUUAGAAAGACCCCUGAAGUCCAACAUUCUGUAUACACUGCAAUAUCCUGUUCAAGUGGACAUCCAGACUAAUGUGAACAUAUACAAAAAUGGGACCUCACUACCCACUGAGGCAAUGCGUUCAUUUUGUGUAGAACUACUAGAGCCACGACUUAAGUGAAUCCAUUUGAGAACCGAUGGACUCAAUGACCUUUGGGAUUAUAUUCAACCUUGAGAAUCUUAAGUUGAUGUCAACCUCCUAAGCUUGAUGUGUGGAGAGGCAACACAGGAAGAUACUCUUCUGUGAGGAUAUAAACUUUCUAUUAAUUGAAUCAGUCCAGGAAAAAGGGACAACUCAAACCUCCUGUUUGUUCUCAUGAUGCUCUCCAAGGAAGAGAAGUGUCAAGACACUCUCAUUAGACCUUAUUUCCUAGGAAUGGAAUUCCUUCUCUAGAUUAAAGUUUAUGAUUCUUCAUUGCUCCAUCACAAAAGGCUGCUGCUUUGUGGACCUGGAGAAGAGGAGUUUACCUUCUAUUUGUGACUAUUCACUGGGCAUAGCACAUUGGGUACAGAUCUUCAUGUCUGUGGCUUUACUUCCUGAGCAUUCAAGGCCCUUUGGGGAUGUUGCUUCAGGACAAAGCAGUCCUGAAAGCUUGUGUGUUGCACAGGACUGGUGUUGGGAUCUCUGCUACUGGGAGCAGAGGUGGUGCAGAGGCUGGGACUUACAGAAUUUGGUAAGGUAACAGGCAGAUCAGGAGCUGAGAUUCCCAGGGUUCAGUCUGAGCUGCACGUAUUGACAACUACUUAAAUCGAGAGUGAAAUGAGGGGAAGUGUGGGAUUGAGACUACUUGGGAUCCGUGGGCAUCCUAGAGCCCCCAGCCGUCAGUAGACUACAGAGUCAGGCAAGUGUCCCACAAUUUAAGGGCUUGCUUGCGGACACUAUCCCCUCAUUCAAGACCUAAGAUGAAUCUUGCUUUGGGGUAGGCCUCAGUGGCACAGGGAUUGCAAGCGCAGAUAAACUGCCUGUGGGACUGACACUCCUCCCUGUGACAUCUUCUGAAAUAUAAGAUCCUGGGCCAUGUGUCACCCACACCACAAUGGUGUACUGUCCCCGGAGCAAAGCUCAGCAUCUCCCUGAGUUCUGGUCCUGAGAAGUGGUCACAGCUCCCUCAAGAGGGCUGGAAGUGACCAAUGAAUUUUCACUUUCUUCUCACCCAUCUUAUUCCAUACACGUUAACUAGUAAAGCAUACUUUGCUGAUUGAGCAGGGGAAUGAUAAAAGUGACACUUACAAAAUCUGAUUACAAAGACCACACAAAAAUUUACUGAAUUAUGGCCAUUCACAAAAGUAAAUGCUAAAUCUUAAAUGUUUAAAAUUAAAUGGCCACUUGAUUUCAGAGAUACAUCUAUGGUAGGAAAUGAGACAGAUCUGGCCUUUGAAAAGAAUAAUUCAAAUUUAUGUGUGAUCGUACUGUGUCUUUGUAUAGUAACUUAUAAUGUACAGACAGCAAGACUUCUAGAAUUCUGUCUCUAUACUGAAGGAAGAAGGAAGUGAGACCUUUUUUAUUUUAAUCUUCAUCAUUUCUGCAGGGUUUUUUUUUUUCUAGAUGGUUCAUUUUUCUCAGAGCCCAUAAUUUUCAUUAGGAAAAAUGCUUACCUUGGGGAGGUAUAAACUCCACACUGAAUCUUAUGAGACUCUUUUCCUGGGCAUAGAAUGUUUAAAAUGAGCUCAGAAGAGGGAUGAGUAUUUUGCAUUUUACUGCCUUAUGCUCAGCAUUUCAAGAAUAAUCCAACUAUCUAAAGUACCCCUUGCUACUCACAGUGUCCUUGAAUACCACUGAAUGUAUCAUCACUUUUCUAAUACCUGUAGCUGAGAAGAAAUCUAACAAUCAUGAGGCUGUAAAACCUACCCUCAUGUGGUCUGUCGAAUUCUCCUCACCUCCCGGCCUCCGAGUGUCAGCAAGGCCUGUUGGCAUGGCUGUUCUAUUCACGUCAGCAGAAAAGGAGUCCACAUUCCAGUGGCCUGACUGGCAGUGCUCAACUUUUCAGAUCUUCCCUUCUUUGGAGCAAGUAUUCCAAGUAUCCUUACCUAUACUUAUAUGGUGCUCUAUCUACACUGAUGCAGCAAAGAUUAUUUUAUUUUGUUUAAAAAAUUUUCUUGUCAACCAGCACCUGGCUAACCAAGUCAUAGCAGUGUUCACACAUAAGGCAGAGUAUCCCUUACAGGAACAUGGUGGAGGGGACUGGUGAAGAAGAUUUAACAAGGCGCUGUGGCAGAGAAAGCUGGACACCAGUGAGAAGCAGGAGAGGAAAGCAAAGAUUUCAUACCACUUUGACCAAACAAAGAGAUGGAUUUUUGCACUUUUCACAUUCCCAGUUUCUCUGUUGGGACUACCUGACCUGGUGUUCCUUUUGAGUUAGCCUUCAGAAUCGAACUGGAACCAUCAGCUAAUACCAUCUGCUCUCCUUGAUCUCCAGCUUGCUGACUGCAGAUCUUGGGAUCUCUAAAGCCUCCAUAAUCAUCUUUGUGCCAGCAACAAAAGCUAUUCGUCACUGGCCUUGGGAAGGGAUCAAGAGGUUGGAAAGGAGGCAUGUGGAUGUUGUAAGUAAUUUGCAAGAACACUAAUGAUUUCAUAGUGUAUGUGUGUAUGCAUUCACCGAUCAACUAACAAGAAACUAAAGAAUUUACAAUAAAUCAUAUUGAAUAGCUAUAAGAAUAAAUUUACAGCUAAAGAAUAAAUUUAUUGAAUAAAUUUAUUCAAUAAAUUGAAUAGCUAUAAGAAUAAAUUUUUUGAAUUAUUUUUAAAGUAAUUAUUAAUAUUUGAGCCAUUCUGCCAUUUUUAGUCUCCCAAGGUAAAAUGAUACAAGAUAUUGGUAUCAAUAUUAAAUAUUACCUUUAGGGACAACUCUUUUAACUGAUAGUCUUUGUAUCUAUAGUCCCCUAGAAAAUUUCUUUCAUAUGUUCAGAUUCCUGGCUGGAGAUCUACUAAGAAUAGAGUAAGGAGCAUAUCCAGAACUGUGGAUAAUCAACAGAAACUUAAGUCAAAAACGAAUACUAGUGUGUGGGAUUGCACUUUCGAGGAAGCAGCUUUUUGUAUUAAGGCAUUUCACUAAUUCAUUUGUCUUCCUUAAGUUUUCUGAUAUUCAUUCUGUCAAAAUUCAGUUACCCAGAGUUUGGAAUAUGGUCCAGAAAUAUGUGGUAUUUGUACUAAAGAAAGGGCAUUGGAUACCUAUGGAGAGCUUGGGGAAAAGGCUGUAAAGAUAAGCUUGGUUGCCAUGGUCUUUGCAUUCUCACUUUCUGAAAUCACCAAUGUUACCUCCUUUUAACCUACCUUAUCUAAUACCCCCUGCAUUUUAGAAGAGAUCUCUUGAAUGGCAUUGUCCAGUGGCCUGCAAACCCCAAAUUAGACCUAUGCAUGGAUUGGCUUGGCCUCUUGACCUCUCCCAUUCCAAGCUUUGGUUCUACAGGCUUUCACAGUCUCUCUUUUGUCCUAGAUUGUAGAUAGGGCAAUAACUAGACUCCAGUGAAAGAUAUAAAGGUGGCUUGGUGAUCUGUGAGUUAACAUGGUUAUCCAGACUGUACUCAAUGGUACCUCUCAACUGUCUUUCCUGACCGUUUGUGGCCAACCUCAAGAGGCUGAAGCUCCAUAGUUCAAUAAGAUAUUUAGAAACAGGAGUCCCUAGGGGCCUCUGUAGUCUGACUGCUGAUGUUAACCCUGUCAUCUGGAGUCAGGAGCUCUGGCAGAUCCUCAGACUCCAGCCCAGAUUCUCUACAAAUGAGAGGCCUGAAGAAAUAUUAAUUUACUAUGUUCAAAGCUUUCUAAAACUAUACUUUUCGUAUCACUACAACCUCUAGCUAUUAGUGCCAUUUGUCCUCUACUGUCAGUUCUGUUAUCAGAUGUGCAGCUUGGAGGCCUGGCUGUUGUGUACACACAAAGGAAAACUCAGAAGUUAUGUAGAACUAUUGAUUUUUUUUCUCAUCCUAGAAAAAAAUUGUUUUUCCUGGAAAUUCGGCUAUAUGGUACCGCAGGGAUGGAAGGUAAGAAAGAGCCUAGCCAAACAAAAAUAUGACUUUUCAUUUUUGUCCUGAGCACUUUCACUUACUUCAUGUGUAAAAAUCAUUUAAUUCAACAAAUAUUUAUCAAACCCCUAUUAUGUGGCAGACACUGUUCUAAGUACUAGAUGUUAUCAGUGAACAAGACUGACUACUUAUUGUCAUCAAGCUUAUAGUGACUUCACAGGGUUGUUGUAGUAAUUUAGACAUGCAAUAUAUUUGGCAUAGUUCCUGGCAUAUAAAAACUAUGUUAGAUGCAGAUUAUGUUUAAUAGAAAAUAGGACAAAUGGCAAUGUUCCAGGCAGAGCUUAAUUUAAUCAUUAUUUGUCAUUGCUGUGAUGAAUAUUGUAAAAAUGAAAGAUUUAGAUUGAUACUUUCUAAGUCAAAACAUGACAAAAUAUAUCCUUAGAGUCAGUUGUAAAAUGACAUUAAUCUAUCAGUUGAUAUUCUGAUUUUCACAGCAAUAUUCUAGUGCGAGUAUUAACUUAAUCCUAGCAUAAUUUACAAAAUUUAAAUAUUAGUUCUGUUACAGCUGCCUUUUUCCAUUUUUGAAUAAUGCUGAGAUCUCAUCCCAAGGGUAAGUUCUCUUUCCUAAGAAAAGACACACAUUUGAUGAAAAGGAUUCUGUGAAAUAUUUAAGAUGCUUAAAAAGAGAAAUUUGCAAUACGAUUGUCCAUUAUUAAAAUAUGCCUCAAUCUUUCAAGUAAUGGUUCCAUUUUUUGCUAUGAAUGAGACUCAGUUGAAAAUCAGGUAUUCAAUUGCCUUUGAUCUUUAGAAAUUGAAGAUAUCUGACAACUUGCAGAAUUAUAGAGGAAUUAUAGAGUUCCCUUUUUAAAAGUUUGACACUUUUAAUAAUAACCACCUUAUUUUAUGUUAAAAUCUUCAAUAGUGUAAUAAAAAUAUUAUUAUUUAUUAUGUAAGGAAAGCCUAUUGAAACUACAAAGACCAGAAAGUGAAUCAUAGUUAGGAGAAUCAUGAGAUUAGCAGCACUACCAAACAAGAAGAUAAAAAGAUGCCUAAUGAAACUUAAUUUUUUCCCAAUGAUUAGAAUAUUACAACCAUAGUGCAGUUAUAAGACAUGCAAUACAUACAUAAUAAGAGACAAUCCACAUUAAAUUUUAAAAUCUGUUAUAAUCUUUUUUAAAAAUUUUUUUUUCAACGUUUAUUUAUUUUUGAGACAGAGAGAGA